GGAGUCCAGUUCUGUUUGAUGUCCCGGUGCUGGCUGACCACUGGGAAGCUCUGAGCUCUGCUGGUGGACUCUUUGAUGAACAGAGUGGUGU